rnacentral:misc_RNA from 1 species
UCGUUGGCCAUCAGGUCGAAGAACGGCUUGAGGUCGAUUCCCUCGGCGAGCGCGUCGACAACGGCGGCCUCGUCCGCGCUGGCCAGUUGAACGACACAGAGCAGGGGAUAGUAGGUGGUUUCGCGCAAAAACUCGGUAUCGACUGUGAUGACGCGGUGUUUGGCGAGGCGAUUGCAGACGGCGGUGAGUUCGUCGGUGGUGGUAAUGAUUUCCAUGCGGGGGUUAUGAACGCCUUG